AUUGAGAACCUGACCCUACAGGACAGUGGGCGAUACAAGGCAUACAGCAGGUUAAGUGAUGGACCAGAAGUUUUCCAAAUUUUCCACCUCAAGGUCUAUGAGCCUGUGUCCCCUCCACUGAUCCUAGUCAAGGCAUUGUCCAUUACACCAGGCUGGUGCAAUGUCACCCUGGAGUGCAGUGCCACAGGGGCCACAGAGGACCUGAAUGUGAUCUGGGAGAGCAAGAGCCUCCCCUGGGAGCUGGAGCAGAGAGGGACACCAGGUCCUGGACCCAAACCUUGGGCCCAGGCUGUGAGCCUGUCCCUGAGCGACGCCGACGCCAGCCUUACAUGUGUAGUCAGCAAUCCCGUGGACCAGAACAAUGCCACCUCAGACCUUGGUGACAUAUGCUUACGAGGUGCAGAACCACAGCAGGACCACAGGGUCGAUGACGAUGGCAUCUACUAUGUGCCGAUGAUGGACCAGGCAUCUCAUGAGAGCUACCGGUGAAUAACAUCUAAAGAAAAGAGGCUGCUCAAUGUUCUCUGCAGAGAGGUUUAUACUCCAGACCGGGCCUUCAAGAUGAUGAAUGUGGAGGAAACAGGAGACACCAGCCCCCCGGGUUACCUGCACCCUAAGCCUGAGCCUGCACUCGUCCACUUCCUCUGGCUUCAGUCAAGCUCGAGAUGCCCCUAGCAUGCAUCGUUCAGACCUAGUGCCUAUAACUUCUCCUGGCACCUCCCCAAGACACCCCCACACUCAGGAUCCUCAUGCCUAACAGUCAAGGUUCUUCCUCUGUCCUUGAUGUGACCCCUGAUCCCUCUCCUCCAGAAUCCGUCCCAAGGGAACCCCGCAUGAAACCCCCAACUCUGUUAACUGUGUGUCUCACUGAGAACACAGCCCUGUGAAGAGGUGUUGACUACUCAGAAAAGAGGGGACGGGAGCAGGCUCUGGAUGCUGAACUGGAGGUUUAUGGAGACAGCGUGAGUGAAUGGGAGUUGAGGCUUCCUUUGCAGACCUUGAGUAGGCUUCCCUUAGGGGGUCUCAGUCAGAGUGUGUUUUGGGGGUUUUACUGUGUGCCAAUCUCUCAUGGUAAAUUAUGGUGCAUCCAUGUCUAUUUGUGCACAUACAAAUACACUGUCGGUUCUGUUCCUAUGUACAAUUAAAUCUCAUCCACUCAUCCUUUUCCUGUCUAGAAGGCUCUAAUUGAACCAUUUGUCUAUUUCCAUGAGCAAUGUUGCAAGAUUUCUCCAUAUGCAUUCCAAGUUGUGUUAU
rnacentral:lncRNA from 1 species